rnacentral:lncRNA from 1 species
AAUGAUGAAAAUGUUGAUGUUAAACCUAUGAAAUUUGAUUGAAUGGUGUGAAUGAUGAAAUUGUUGUAGCUAAAGCCAUGAAAUUUGAUUGAAUAUUGUGAAUGAUGAAAAUGUUGAUGUUAAACCCAUGAAAUUUUAUUGAAUGGUGUGAAUGAUGAAAAGGUAGAUAUUAACCCCAUGAAUUUUUGAUUGAAUUGUGUGAAUGAUGAAAAUGCUGUUGUUAAACCCAUGAAAUUUGAUUGAAUUGUGUGAAUGAUGAAAAUGUUGUUGUUAAACCCAUGAAAUUUGAUUGAAUUAUGUGAAUGAUGAAAAUGUUAUUGUUAAACCCAUGAAAUUUGAUUGAAU